rnacentral:tRNA from 1 species
GCUGGGGAUAUAGCUCAGCUGGUAGAGUGCUUGCCUAGCAUGCGCAAGGCCCUGGGUUCAAUCCCCAGCACAACA